rnacentral:rRNA from 1 species
GAUGAACGCUGGCGGCGUGCCUAAUACAUGCAAGUCGAGCGAACAGAUAAGGAGCUUGCUCCUUUGACGUUAGCGGCGGACGGGUGAGUAACUCGUGGAUAACCUACCUAUAAGACUGGGAUAACUUCGGGAAACCGGAGCUAAUACCGGAUAACAUAUUGAACCGCAUGGUUCAAUAGUGAAAGGCGGCUUUGCUGUCACUUAUAGAUGGAUCCGCGCCGUAUUAGCUAGUUGGUAAGGUAACGGCUUACCAAGGCAACGAUACGUAGCCGACCUGAGAGGGUGAUCGGCCACACUGGAACUGAGACACGGUCCAGACUCCUACGGGAGGCAGCAGUAGGGAAUCUUCCGCAAUGGGCGAAAGCCUGACGGAGCAACGCCGCGUGAGUGAUGAAGGUCUUCGGAUCGUAAAACUCUGUUAUCAGGGAAGAACAAAUGUGUAAGUAACUGUGCACAUCUUGACGGUACCUGAUCAGAAAGCCACGGCUAACUACGUG